rnacentral:ncRNA from 14 species
GGUGGAGCAGUCUGGUAGCUCGUCGGGCUCAUAACCCGAAGGUCAUCGGUUCAAAUCCGGUCCCCG